CGGCGGGUCUGGCUGGCCAGUCACGUGGGCGGAGGUGUGCGUCUCGGGAGCGCGCUGUCCCGGGCGCCCGGGGUGCCGCGGCAGGUUUGCUCUAAGGGACCGUGGAUCAGAAGUGAUGCUGCUUCCCAGGUGGGAUUGCAGAGGUGGUGUCUCUCUGAUACAUAAAGUGGUGGUCCCCAGAACACCGCCUUCCAUUCACCUGGACGACCCCUGCAAAAAUCCAGAGGCAUUCAAGUGAAUGGAACAAGAUCAGUGCCCGCUGUAGAGAUGUGAAUGAAGAAGCAGUGGUUCAUACAAUGGAAUAUAAUGCAACCUUUAAAAAGAACAAGUACAGAGACUUUGAUCAUCCAGACAUCACAUCAUGUGAUGACAUGCUAACUGGACAUGGUGCAGAAGGAAGUGACCAGUGUGCUGUCCCUGGUAAGACAAUGCUCAUCAAUGCACGUCAGAUAAGCCCUCAGAAGUUCUGGAGUCUGCCCUGGCUGGUGUGGCUCAGUGGAUUGAGUGCCAGCCUGCGAACCGAAAGGUCGCUGGUUCGAUUGCCAGUCAGGGCACAUGCCUGGGUUGCAGUUGGGAGCCUGUGGUAGGCAACUAAUCACACAUCAAUGUUUCUCUCCCUUUCUCCCUCUUUUUCCCUCUCUCUAAAAAUAAAUCAAUGAAGUUCUAUUCCC